rnacentral:rRNA from 1 species
AGUCACUGACAUUAGAUACCCGUGUAGUCCAGGGUGUAAACGCUGCGGGCUUGGUGUUGGGGGUCCUUUGAGGGCGCCCAGUGCCGGAGAGAAGUUGUUAAGCCUACUGCUUGGGGAGUACGUCCGCAAGGAUGAAACUUAAAGGAAUUGGCGGGGGAGCACCGCAACGGGAGGAGCGUGCGGUUCAAUUGGAUUCAACGCCGGACAACUCACCAGGAGCGACGGUUACAUGAAGGCCAGGCUGAUGACCUUGCCUGAUUUUCCG